UCUCAAUGUUUAGUUCUCUCAAUGAUCAUGUCAUAAGUUCUCUCAGAUAUCGCGUAUAAGUGCUCUAUGUUCUCUCAGUGUUAAGUUCUCUCAGUGUUCGUGUCUUAAUUUCUCUUAGUGAUCGCGUAUAUGUUCUUUUUUUUCUCUCAAUGUUAAGUGCGCAAUAUGAUUUACCCCAAAACACCCAAAAAAAUCUGAAAUGCACCCAAAUACACCCAAAUUCGCUUAAAAUACCCAAAUACUCAUAAUUUUGGCAGGUUAGGGUUAGGUUAGGGUUAGGUUAGAGUAUUAUGGGUAUUUUGGGUCUUUUUGGGGGUAUUUGGGGGGUCUUAGGUUCUCCCAGUUAUUGCGUAUAAGUGCUCUAAGUUCUCUCAGUGUUAAGUUCUCUCAAUAAUAGCGUUUUAAUUUUUCUCACUGAUCGCGUCUUAUUUUCUCUCAGUAAUUGCGUAUAAGUUCUUUCUGUUCUGUCAGUGUUAAGUUCUGUCAAUGAUGGCAUUUUAAUUUUUCUCAGUGAUCGCGUAUAAGUUCUCUUUGUUCUCUCAGUGUUUGUUUUUGCAGUGAUUGUUUGUUAUUUUCUCUCAAUGAUCGCGUCUUAAUUUCUCUCAGUUAUCGCGUAUAAGUUCUUUAAUUUCCCUCAAUGUUAAGUUCUCUAAUUGACAGCGUGUUAAUUUCUCUCUGCGAUUGCGUGUUAAGUUCUCUCAAUGAUCGUGUCUUAAUUUCUCUCAGUAAUUACGUACAAGUUCUCUAAUUUCUCUCAGUGUUAAGUUCUCUCAAUGAUCGCAUCUUAAGUUCUCUCAGUUAUCACGUAUAAGUGUGCUAAGUUCUCUCAGUGUUAAGUUCUCUCAUUGACCGCGUGUUAAUUUGUCUCUGUGAUCGCGUGUUAAAUUCUAAUUAAGUUAUUACCUAAUUUUUCUCAAUUAUCGCAUAUAAGUUCUCUAUGUUCUCUCAUUGUUAAGCUCUCUCAGUGGUCACGUAUAAGUUUUCUUUGUUCUCUCAGUGUUAAGUUCUCUCAUUGACCGCGUGUUAAUUUGUCUCUGUGAUUGCGUGUUAAGUUCUAACUAAGUUGUAACCUAAUUUCUCUCAAUAAUCGCGUAUAAGUUCAUUAUGUUCUCUCAUUGUUCAGUUCUCUCAGUGGUCGCGUAUAAG